rnacentral:rRNA from 1 species
GGACCGUCCAAACGUUAUUCGGAAUCACUGGGGCUUAAAGGGUGCGUAGGCGGCCUGACAAGUUGGGUGUGAAAUCCCUCGGGCUCAACCGAGGGAACUGCGCUCAAAACUGUCAGGCUAGAGGGAGAUAGAGGUGAGCGGAACCUAUGGUGGAGCGGUGAAAUGCGUUGAUAUCAUAAGGAACACCGGUGGCGAAAGCGGCUCACUGGAUCUCUUCUGACGCUGAGGCACGAAAGCUAGGGUAGCGAACGGGAUUAGAUACCCCGGUAGUCCUAGCUGUAAACGAUGAGCACUUGGCUGGAGACUCCUCCAUAGGUUUCCGGCCGAAGCGAAAGUGUUAAGUGCCCCGCCUGGGGAGUAUGGUCGCAAGGCUG